GGACUAACUGACAGCUCAGACAGUCCCCCUGCUGGCAGCUCCUAGAGUCCUAUUGCGGUGAUGUGAUCAUGGUGAUCACAUGGCCAUGGAGGGCCAGGAUGGUGAGCUGCUGUAGGGGGACUGCUCGGGUCUCUGGCAGUCCUCCCCGACCGUGAUCGAUGCAGAUCGUCGGUCCAGGGCUCCUAUAGCGGACAUCCUCUC